UACGUAGGGUGCAAGCGUUGUUCGGAUUCAUUGGGCGUAAAGGGUGCGUAGGCGGCGCGGUAAGUCGGGUGUGAAAUCUCGGAGCUUAACUCCGAAACUGCAUUCGAUACUGCCGUGCUUGAGGACUGGAGAGGAGACUGGAAUUUACGGUGUAGCGGUGAAAUGCGUAGAUAUCGUAAGGAAGACCAGUGGCGAAGGCGGUGCUCUGGGCCGGAACUGACGCUGAGGAGCGAAAGCGUGGGGAGCAAACAGG
rnacentral:rRNA from 1 species